rnacentral:tmRNA from 1 species
AAAAAUAUCUGGAAACAGACUUUCUUUCGCUGCUUAAUUAGCUAAAUACUGCUAUCAGCGUGCACCUUAUAGGUUGGUCUUUGGCUUAUAAACGUGUAUCACAAACAAAGAAUAAGGUUCAUAAGGCGACUCACCGCGUGUUCCCGACAAUCCCAUUGAGUCAAUCAUCUCUUGCUUGUCAUGUCCUUAAGAGGUGAUUAAUAGCGAUAUGACUAAACUGUAGAACUUUGAAUGUGAGACACUUCUUGGACAGGAGUUCGACUCUCCUCAUCUCCACCA